rnacentral:tRNA from 1 species
GGGAAGGUGGCUCAGUGGUAGAGUACUUGCCUUGCAUGCAUAAGGCCAUGGGUUCGAUUCCUCAGUACCA